CCAUUUAAUCUAAGAUGAUUUAUUAUUUUGUUUAGUUUGUAUUCUAUCUCGUGUAUUAAAAUAGAAAGUCAAAAAGGGGCCUAAGCUUUCGAUCCUAGCAGAAUCUUUGUUGGAGGCAAAAUGACAAACAUAUAAAGUGGAACAACCAUAAUAUAGACCACAAACAAGCUACAGCAACACUAGAAACAAGGAGACAAAAGGGGCAUUAGUGAGUAGAGAAGACCAAUCAGGUUAGUGAAGGGGAUGAAAGAAAAGGAGUAGGCAGACACAAAGGGAAGUUAGUGUAAGUAAGGCCAGUAAAAGACCUCAAGCCAAGAGGGAUUAAGAUAAUGAGGCAGGCAACAUCAAACAGGAUCUGGAACAAAACAGUGAUAAUGGGAUGAAUAACAAGAGAAUUAGUGAGAGGUGGGUCAAACAGGUUACAAAGAAAGGCAUAAUAAACUGGUGCAUAAGA